rnacentral:rRNA from 1 species
AGUGGCAGCGUUUCCCAUGCAAGUCGACGGCAGCACGGACUUCGGUCUGGUGGCGAGUGGCGAACGGGUGAGUAAUGUAUCGGAACGUGCCCAGUAGCGGGGGAUAACUACGCGAAAGCGUAGCUAAUACCGCAUACGCCCUACGGGGGAAAGCAGGGGAUCUUCGGACCUUGCACUAUUGGAGCGGCCGAUAUCGGAUUAGCUAGUUGGUGGGGUAACGGCCUACCAAGGCGACGAUCCGUAGCUGGUUUGAGAGGACGACCAGCCACACUGGGACUGAGACACGGCCCAGACUCCUACGGGAGGCAGCAGUGGGGAAUUUUGGACAAUGGGGGAAACCCUGAUCCAGCCAUCCCGCGUGUGCGAUGAAGGCCUUCGGGUUGUAAAGCACUUUUGGCAGGAAAGAAACGUCGCGGGUUAAUACCUCGCGAAACUGACGGUACCUGCAGAAUAAGCACCGGCUAACUACGUGCCAGCAGCCGCGGUAAUACGUAGGGUGCAAGCGUUAAUCGGAAUUACUGGGCGUAAAGCGUGCGCAGGCGGUUC